rnacentral:rRNA from 1 species
GGGGGGGGGGGGGGGGGGGGGGGGUGCGGGCGGGGCGGGGGGGCAGACGAGGAGGGUGCGCCGCGGACGUUGGCGGCGGACGGGGGGGUCACACGUGGAUCACCUACCUAUCAGGCUGGGAUAACUUCGGGGAACCGGGGCUGAUACCGGCUAAUAUCUUCACCCGCAUGGUUCCAUCGUGCGCGCCGGUGUUGGUGUUACUUAUCGUUGUCUCCGCGCCUAGUUAGCUAGUCGGUAAUGGAACGGCUAACUCAGGCAACGAUGCGUAGCCGACCUGAGCGGGGGAUCGGCCACACUGGAACGGAGAAACGGUCCAGACUCCUACGGGAGGCAGCAGUAGGGAAGCUUCCGCAAUGGGCGAAAGCCUGACGGAGCAACGCCGCGUGAGUGAUGAAGGUCUUCGGAUCGUAAAACUCUGUUAUUAGGGAAGAACAAAUGUGUAAGUAACUAUGCACGUCUUGACGGUACCUAAGCAGAAAGCCACGGCUAACUACGU